UAGAGUUUGAUUCAUGGCUCAGGACGAACGCUGGCGGCGUGCCUAAUACAUGCAAGUCGAGCGGACAGAUGGGAGCUUGCUCCCUGAUGUUAGCGGCGGACGGGUGAGUAACACGUGGGUAACCUGCCUGUAAGACUGGGAUAACUCCGGGAAACCGGGGCUAAUACCGGAUGGUUGUUUGAACCGCAUGGUUCAAACAUAAAAGGUGGCUUCGGCUACCACUUACAGAUGGACCCGCGGCGCAUUAGCUAGUUGGUGAGGUAAYGGCUCACCAAGGCAACGAUGCGUAGCCGACCUGAGAGGGUGAUCGGCCACACUGGGACUGAGACACGGCCCAGACUCCUACGGGAGGCAGCAGUAGGGAAUCUUCCGCAAUGGACGAAAGUCUGACGGAGCAACGCCGCGUGAGUGAUGAAGGUUUUCGGAUCGUAAAGCUCUGUUGUUAGGGAAGAACAAGUACCGUUCGAAUAGGGCGGUACCUUGACGGUACCUAACCAGAAAGCCACGGCUAACUACGUGCCAGCAGCCGCGGUAAUACGUAGGUGGCAAGCGUUGUCCGGAAUUAUUGGGCGUAAAGGGCUCGCAGGCGGUUUCUUAAGUCUGAUGUGAAAGCCCCCGGCUCAACCGGGGAGGGUCAUUGGAAACUGGGGAACUUGAGUGCAGAAGAGGAGAGUGGAAUUCCACGUGUAGCGGUGAAAUGCGUAGAGAUGUGGAGGAACACCAGUGGCGAAGGCGACUCUCUGGUCUGUAACUGACGCUGAGGAGCGAAAGCGGACGG
rnacentral:rRNA from 1 species